GCCCAAGCGUUCACAGCGACGGCGUGGUUUGGCACCUCGAUGUCGGCUCGUCGCAUCCUGGGGGGGCAGUACCUCCCAAGGGUUGGGCUGUUCGCCCAUCAAAGCGGUACGCGAGCUGGGUUCAGAACGUUGUGAAACAGUUCAGAGAUGUCGAGCUGUUGUCUCUCACACAGCGUUCGCGAAGUCGCCUGUUAGAAAGUGAGAGCUCGGCAACCCUAGGCCGAGAUAAAUCUGGCUAAAUGCUGGGAACUCCGAGGAUCCCGCGCUACUGUCCGGCUCAGUUGCGGACAGUGACAACGCGUCGGGUGCGGACGAUCAGCAGGAAAGGCCACGUCCAAGCUGCUGUCGUGAGCGAUGACUAUCUAGCCGGUCUGAUCGACGGCGAAGGCAUGUUCCACGUUGGGAUCGUGCCGAGCCGUUACACCAGGCAGGCAUCUCACGGCGGACGGAUUGCUCGAGAUCGUGGACAUCGCGUACGCCAUGAACACGAAAGCACGACGCGUGCCUCGAGCGACCAUCCAAGCAGCCAUCGAACGACGUGGAAUCCUCACAGGCCAUACGCCGGACUCGCGCUAGGCGCGAGAAGAUAUGGUCGGACCCCCGUGGCGACACGGGGAGCCAGCGGGAACAGAAACCAGCUGGCCGUGUAACAACAGAGUCGGUCUCUAUCCAGUGUGGGCGCAGGUGAGUUGCGAGGAGUUGUCCCCAGUACGAGAGGACCGGGAUGAGCGGACCUAUGGUGUACGAGUUGUCCUGCCAAGGGCACCGCUCGGUAGCUAUGUCCGUUCCGGAUAACCGCUGAAAGCAUCUAAGUGGGAAGCCGACCUCAAGAUGGGCUCACCCUCUGCGUAAGCAGGUAAGGCCGCAGGUAGAGAACCUGUUCGAUAGGCGCCAGGUGGAAGGACCGUGAGGUCUGGAGCUGAGGCGUACUAACGGCCGAGCGGCUUGACCUA
rnacentral:rRNA from 1 species